AUUUAUAUAAUAUAAAAAUUAUAUUUGAUUUCCAAUCAGAAAACCUAGAUACUCUAGUAUAAAUA
rnacentral:tRNA from 1 species